AGGACGAACGCUGGCGGCGUGCCUAACACAUGCAAGUCGAGCGAGGGCGGCUUUCGGGCUGACCCGAGCGGCGGACGGGUGAGUAACACGUGAGUAAUCUGUCUCUGUGCGGGGGACAACCCGGGGAAACUCGGGCUAAUACCGCAUGGACGGUGACCAGGAGUCUGGUUAUCGGGAAAGGUGGCCUCGUUUACAAUGCUGCCGUGCAGAGAGGAACUCGCGGGCUAUCGAGCUAGUUGGUAGGGUUACGGCCUACCAAGGCGACGGACGGCUACGGGGGUCUGAGAGGACGACCCCGCACAUUGGAACUGAGACACGGUCCAGACUCCUACGGGAGGCAGCAGUGGGGAAUAUUGGGCAAGUGGCCGAAAGGCUGACCCAGCGACGCGCGUGCGGAGGAAGCCCGUUCGGGGAGUAAACCGGCGUGGUCGGGGGGACGAACGUAGGGGAAGGUCGGGAAGUUACCGGUUU
rnacentral:rRNA from 1 species